AGCAGCCGCGGUAAUUCCAGCUCCAAUAGCGUAUAUUAAAGUUGUUGCAGUUAAAAAGUUCGUAGUUGAAUUUCGGGAUUGGCGCAUCGGUCGUGCCUCACGGGGUAUGAACUGGUGCAGUCAAUUUCUCACCUUCUGGAGAACCGCGAUGUCCUUAAUUGGAUGCCGCGGGGAACCAGGACCUUUACUUUGAAAAAAUUAGAGUGUUUAAAGCAGGCAUUUUUGCUUGAAUACAUUAGCAUGGAAUAAUAAAAUAGGACGGCAUGGUUCUAUUUUGUUGGUUUCUAGGACCACCGUAAUGAUUAAUAGGGAUAGUUGGGGGCAUUAGUAUUCAAUUGUCAGAGGUGAAAUUCUUGGAUUUAUUGAAGACUAACUACUGCGAAAGCAUUUGCCAAGGAUGUUUUCAUUAAUCAAGAACGAAAGUUAGGGGAUCGAAGACGAUCAGAUACCGUCGUAGUCUUAACCAUAAACUAUGCCGACUAGGAAUCAGA
rnacentral:misc_RNA from 1 species